rnacentral:rRNA from 1 species
AUAGCGUAUAUUAAAGUUGUUGCAGUUAAAAAGCUCGUAGUUGAACUUCAGAUUUGGUCGGGUGGUCCGCUUAACGGCGUGUUACUGCUUGGCUGGGUCUUGUCUCUUGGUGAACCAUUGUGCCCUUUAUUGGUGUGCUUUGGGGAACCAGGACUUUUACCUUGAGAAAAUUAGAGUGUUCAAAGCAGGCCUAUGCCUGGAUACAUUAGCAUGGAAUAAUAGAAUAGGACGUGUGGUUCUAUUUUGUUGGUUUCUAGAGUCGCCGUAAUGAUUAAUAGGGAUAGUUGGGGGCAUUAGUAUUCAGUUGCUAGAGGUGAAAUUCUUGGAUUUACUGAAGACUAACUACUG